UACGUAGGGGGCAAGCGUUGUCCGGAAUCAUUGGGCGUAAAGCGCGUGUAGGCGGCUUGAUAAGUCCGCUCUGAAAGCCCGGGGCUCAACCCCGGGAGGCGGGUGGAUACUGUCAAGCUCGAGUCCGGAAGAGGCGAGUGGAAUUCCUGGUGUAGCGGUGAAAUGCGCAGAUAUCAGGAGGAACACCAAUGGCGAAGGCAGCUCGCUGGGACGUGACUGACGCUGAGGCACGAAGGCCAGGGGAGCAAACGGG
rnacentral:rRNA from 1 species